CAAGAUAGUUGUGUUGGAAAAUGGAAUGAACAACAGCAGUUAUACAUAAAUGGGAAAAAAAAAACCAGGGUAAGUGGAUGAAUGUGUGUACGUUGAUGAAAUAUUUACUAACAAUGGGAAAAUGAAUAAAUAUUAAUAUGUUCAAUUUCCUUUAAUUUAAUUGAUUUAGGUGCCAUCCGAGUUCAAAUGGCUUUGUGUGACUCAUAAUUCAACAAAAGAAUGCAAGACAGUACAAUUCAAAAACAACCAGCAAAAAGGAGCUGUGAGUCCAAAAAGAUCCCCAGAUUGAUCAGAUGCUGAUAGAAAGAUAGUAGUACAUUCUGGAAGAAAUACAUAUUCUACAUGCAAUUCUGGUUACAAAGUCAGAGGUGGCUAAGGAAUUCAUGGUCACUAUGGCCACCAUUUGACUUGACCCAGAUUAUUGAAGGCUCAACACAUAGCAGAAGAGACAUUUGAUCUGGUUUGGGUCUCAAAACAGUGGCAAUGUGAUCUAGAGUGUCUGGAGGUUACAUGGAUCUGGAUGGAGAAGAUCAAGCUUUGGCUUAAUCCUAGCAACAACAAUCCUAUUCAAGCUAUGGAUUUUAAGAACUACCGGAUCUGGGAAUUUUUGUCAUUAAUUCUGGAUGGGAUAGUACUCCAUGAGACAGAACUAGUGUACAACUUGGGGGUCCUCUUGGACUCUUGCUCAAAGAGCAGGUAGCAGCCAUGGCCAGGAGGGCCUUUCCACAAAUCCAACUUGUGCACCAAAUGUGCAUAUUCCUGGAUUGGGAAGCCUUACACACAGUUAGUCAUGCCUUAGUCACCUCUCAUCUGGACUAUUGUAAUGUGCUUUUCAUGGGGCUGCCUUUGAAGACCACUUGGAAGUUACCAGUGAUCCAGAAUGCAGCAGUGCCUGUAGUUAUGGGCAUACCAUGGUAUAUCCAUGCAAAACCAAUAUUUCACGAGCUACACUGUCCUCCCAGUAGGCUACUGCAUGCAAUUGAAGCGCUGACUAUUAUCUAAAAAGCCCUUUAUAAUACAGCACUGGGUUAUUUGUCGGACCAUCUGUAUUUGAUCAUUUCUGCCUUUCCCAUAAGAUUCAGCAGGAUGGGCAUGUUCAUGUCUCCUAAGAAGCAGUACCUUGUGAUGGGACUCAAGGGAUGUGCCUUCUCUGUCACAGCAUCUGCCCUGUGAAACUGCAUACCCCCUGAGAUGGGGAUGGCCCCGACUCUGGUGGCCUUUUGUAAAACCUGUCUUUUCCCUCAGUAUUGAGCAAGGACAUUAGAUGACCCUAUACUGUAAGGGUUAAAAUAGCAGGUGUGGUUGGCCUUGGAUGUGAUUGUUUUUCUUUCUUCUUUUUGUUCUCUUUUAGUUAUAUUUAAUCCAGUAUGAGCCACCCAGUUUUGCAACUGCAAGUUGGGCAGCCGUAAAAAUUGAUUGAUUUAAGUAAAUAGAUAAAUAAAUGAAGCCAGGUGGGGGAAUUCAGCUGCACUUCUUAUAUCCACGAGGAGCUUGUUUUAUAUAUUAAAGACAUUUUAUAGCAUUCAUGAGUUUCCCUAAGGAAGCCUUGGAAUUUUAAUUUUAUGAACCUGACAAAAAUCAGUUUGUAUAUUCAGCAGACAUUCAAGAAAGUUUCUGUGUGUUGAUUUUGUGCAUCUCAGUGCACUUCUGCAGAAUGCUUAUGGCUAUAUACUUGAAUAUAUAUUGAUACGUAUCCCAGCAGGCAAGAACCCUGGAAAGGGAAUGGGAAAAGCAUCUGCAAGAACUAUGCAUAUUGUAGCCAUACCUGGAACUCCCAAGGUCUAUAUAUCUGAAAGAAUAUAAAGAUUUUUGUAAAAAUAUAAUUUUGAUAUAAUUUUUACCCAAAGCAAUGUAAGAGGAGGGCAGCCACUGAACUAAACAAAAGAGGGAUGUAGGAAUCCUAAGUGCCAAUUAAAAAAAAGUCCACAAACACACCAGUCAGCAAGCUAUUCCAGAAGGGCCCUUGAAAAAGGAAUAGAUUUUCUGAAAAGUGUUUGGCUUUUUAAAAAAAAUUUUUAUUGGCGCAUGGGAUUCCUUCCUCUCUUGUUUAUGUAAAGCAAUGGCAACAUAAAUUACUCCAACAGUCUAAGCCAGCUAGGGAUGAAUAAAUCAUAUUUGACUGUCUUGGCUACCAAAACUUACUUUUGGUGAAAUGCCCAGCCACCAAAGAUUGUCCACUCCUGGUUGAUAGGGUAAUUAGGUAAAUUUACCUUAAAAUGUGAAGCAAACAAAUUUUUCUCCCAUUCCUAGUUUCUGCAUGGUUAUUUUUCAAAGUAUCAUGUCAAAAACUCAUAGACCCUAUGAGAAAUAUUGAUAGGAUCGUAGCAGCAAAAAAGCAGAGCAUUAAAUUCCAUCUUGCUCUUCUGCUACCUUUUCCAUAUGCCAUUAAUUUUACAUUCCCCUUCCCCCAGCACACACACACGUUUGUGUGUGUGUGUGUGU